rnacentral:rRNA from 1 species
AUACGGAGGAUGCAAGCGUUAUCCGGAUUUAUUGGGUUUAAAGGGUGCGUAGGCGGUUUGCUAAGCGGGAGGUGAAAUGCCGGCGCUCAACGUCGGAAGUGCCUCCCGAACUGGUGGACUUGAAUGACUCUGCCGUGGGAGGAAUGUGUAGUGUAGCGGUGAAAUGCUUAGAGAUUACACAGAACACCGAUUGCGAAGGCAUCUCACGAAGGGUUGAUUGACGCUGAGGCACGAAAGCGUGGGGAUCAAACAGGAUUAGAUACCCUGGUAGUCCACGCAGUAAACGAUGAUGGCUAACCGCUGGGCUUAUCAGUUCAGUGGCCAAGCGAAAGCGAUAAGCCAUCCGCCUGGGGAGUACGACCGCAAGGUUGAAACUCAAAGGAAUUGACGGGG